UCGCACUGUCUUUGAACCUGGUGGGUCUUGCUCGUGACCUCCUUGGCCAAGCUACAGUGCAACAGCAAAUCCAAACUUGUUCAUAACUGGGGCCUCCUGGCAACAUCCCCAGGUCGCCUUUUUAAAAGCAAGCUACAUUC
ensembl:snoRNA